rnacentral:misc_RNA from 1 species
GUGGACUACUAGGGUUUCUAAUCCUGUUCGCUCCCCAUGCUUUCGCUCCUCAGCGUCAGUAACAGCCCAGAGACCUGCCUUCGCCAUCGGUGUUCCUCCUGAUAUCUGCGCAUUCCACCGCUACACCAGGAAUUCCAGUCUCCCCUACUGCACUCUAGUCUGCCCGUACCCACUGCACACCCGGGGUUAAGCCCCGGGCUUUCACAGCAGACGCGACAAACCGCCUACGAGCUCUUUACGCCCAAUAAUUCCGGACAACGCUUGCGCCCUACGUAUUACCGCGGCGGCUGGCACC